rnacentral:rRNA from 1 species
UACGUAGGGUGCAAGCGUUGUCCGGAAUUAUUGGGCGUAAAGAGCUCGUAGGCGGUUCGUCGCGUCGGCUGUGAAAACCCGGAGCUCAACUCCGGGCCUGCAGUCGAUACGGGCGGACUAGAGUUCGGCAGGGGAGACUGGAAUUCCUGGUGUAGCGGUGAAAUGCGCAGAUAUCAGGAGGAACACCGGUGGCGAGGGCGGGUCUCUGGGCCGAUACUGACGCUGAGGGGCGAAAGCGUGGGGAGCGAACAGG